rnacentral:lncRNA from 1 species
CCGGCGGACGAACUUCGCCCACGCCCCCCGCCAAGGCUAUAGCCCACCCGUUUUUUGGCCAUUUUUCCGCUUGGGGGUACUGGCGGCCCGACCUUCGGGCGCUCAUUUUUGGGCGCGGCUGUGCCCGUGGCCUAUUUUUUGGCACACGGAGGCCGCCCGCAAAGUCUGGGGCCAUUCCAAGUCCGGCGGACGAACUUCGCCCACGCCCCCCACCAAGGCUAUAGCCCACCCGUUUUUUGGCCAUUUUUCCGCUGUGGGGUCUUGGCGCCCCGACAUUCGGGGGCUGAUUUUUGGGCGCGGCUGUGCCCGUGGCCUAUUUUUGGCACACGGAGGCCGCCCGCAAAGUCUGGGGCCAUUCCGAGUCCGGCGGACGAACUUCGCCCACGCCCCCCACCAAGGCUAUAGCCCGCCCACCCGUUUUUUGGCCAUUUUUCCGCUGGGGGGUCUUGGCGCCCCGACCUUCGGGGGCUGAUUUUUGGGCGCGGGUGUGCCCGUGGCCUGUUUUUGGCACACGGAGGCCGCCCGCAAAGUCUGGGGCCAUUCCGAGUCCGGCGGACGAACUUCGCCCACGCCCCCCACCAAGGCUAUAGCCCACCCGUUUUUUGGCCAUUUUUCCGCUGGGGGGUCUUGGCGCCCCGACCUUCGGGGGCUGAUUUUUGGGCGCGGCUGUGCCCGUGGCCUAUUUUUGGCACACGGAGGCCGCCCGCAAAAUCUGGGGUCAUUCCGAGUCCGGCGGACGAACUUCGCCCACGCCCCCCACCAAGGCUAUAGCCCACCCGUUUUUUGGCCAUUUUUCCGCUGGGGGGUCUUGGCACCCCGACCUUCGGGGGCUGAUUUUUGGGCGCGGCUCUGCCCGUGGCCUAUUUUUGGCACACGGAAGCCGCCCGCAAAGUCUGGGGCCAUUCCGAGUCCGGCGGACGAACUUCGCCCACGCCCCCCACCAAGGCUAUAGCCCACCCGUUUUUUGGCCAUUUUUCCGCUGGGGGGUGUUGGCACCCCGACCUUCGGGGGCUGAUUUUUGGGCGCGGCUGUGCCCGUGGCCUAUUUUUGGCACACGGAGGCCGCCCGCAAAGUCUGGGGCCAUUCCGAGUCCGGCGGACGAACUUCGCCCACGCCCCCCACCAAGGCUAUAGCCCACCCGUUUUUUGGCCAUUUUUCCGCUGGGGGGUCUUGGCACCCCGACCUUCGGGGGCUGAUUUUUGGGCGCGGCUCUGCCCGUGGCCUAUUUUUGGCACACGGAAGCCGCCCGCAAAGUCUGGGGCCAUUCCGAGUCCGGCGGACGAACUUCGCCCACGCCCCCCACCAAGGCUAUAGCCCACCCGUUUUUUGGCCAUUUUUCCGCUGGGGGGUCUUGGCACCCCGACCUUCGGGGGCUGAUUUUUGGGCGCGGCUGUGCCCGUGGCCUAUUUUUGGCACACGGAGGCCGCCCGCAAAGUCUGGGGCCAUUCCGAGUUCGGCGGACGAACUUCGCCCACGCCCCCCACCAAGGCUAUAGCCCACCCGUUUUUUGGCCAUUUUUCCGCUGGGGGGUCUUGGCACCCCGACCUUCGGGGGCUGAUUUUUGGGCGCGGCUCUGCCCGUGGCCUAUUUUUGGCACACGGAGGCCGCCCGCAAAGUCUGGGGCCAUUCCGAGUUCGGCGGACGAACUUCGCCCACGCCCCCCACCAAGGCUAUAGCCCACCCGUUUUUUGGCCAUUUUUCCGCUGGGGGGUCUUGGCACCCCGACCUUCGGGGGCUGAUUUUUGGGCGCGGCUCUGCCCGUGGCCUAUUUUUGGCACACGGAAGCCGCCCGCAAAGUCUGGGGCCAUUCCGAGUCCGGCGGACGAACUUCGCCCACGCCCCCCACCAAGGCUAUAGCCCACCCGUUUUUUGGCCAUUUUUCCGCUGGGGGGUGUUGGCACCCCGACCUUCGGGGGCUGAUUUUUGGGCGCGGCUGUGCCCGUGGCCUAUUUUUGGCACACGGAGGCCGCCCGCAACGUCUGGGGCCAUUCCGAGUGCGGCGGACGAACUUCGCCCACGCCCCCCACCAAGGCUAUAGCCCACCCGUUUUUUGGCCAUUUUUCCGCUGGGGGGUCUUGGCACCCCGACCUUCGGGGGCUGAUUUUUGGGCGCGGCUCUGCCCGUGGCCUAUUUUUGGCACACGGAAGCCGCCCGCAAAGUCUGGGGCCAUUCCGAGUCCGGCGGACGAACUUCGCCCACGCCCCCCACCAAGGCUAUAGCCCACCCGUUUUUUGGCCAUUUUUCCGCUGGGGGGUCAUGGCACCCCGACCUUCGGGGGCUGAUUGUUGGGCGCGGCUCUGCCCGUGGCUUAUUUUUGGCACACGGAGGCCGCCCGCAAAGUCUGUGGCCAUUCAGAGUUCGGCGGACGAACUUCGCCCACGCCCCCCACCAAGGCUAUAGCCCACCCGUUUUUUGGCCAUUUUUCCGCUGGGGGGUCUUGGCGCCCCGACCUUCGGGGGCUGAUUUUUGGGCGCGGCUGUGCCCGUUGCCUAUUUUUGGCACACGGAGGCCGCCCGCAAAGUCUGGGGCCAUUCCGAGUCCGGCGGACGAACUUCGCCCACGCCCCCCACCAAGGCUAUAGCCCGCCCACCCGUUUUUUGGCUAUUUUUCCGCUGGGGGGUCUUGGCGCCCCGACCUUCGGGGGCUGAUUUUUGGGCGCUGGUGUGCCCGUGGCCAAUUUUUGGCACAAGGAGGCCGCCCGCAAAGUCUGGGGCCAUUCCGAGUCCGGCGGACGAACUUCGCCCACGCCCCCCACCAAGGCUAUAGCCCACCCAUUUUUUGGCCAUUUUUCCGCUGGGGGGUCUUGGCGCCCCGACCUUCGGGGGCUGAUUUUUGGGCGCGGCUCUGCCCGUGGCCUAUUUUUGGCACAAGGAAGCCGCCCACAAAGUCUGGGGCCAUUCCGAGUCCGGCGGACGAACUUCGCCCACGCCCCCCACCAAGGCUAUAGCCCACCCGUUUUUUGGCCAUUUUUCCGCUGGGGGGUCUUGGCGCCCCGAUCUUCGGGGGCUGAUUUUUGGGCGCGGCUCUGCCCGUGGCCUAUUUUUGGCACACGGAAGCCGCCCGCAAAGUCUGGGGCCAUUCCGAGUCCGGCGGACGAACUUCGCCCACGCCCCCCACCAAGGCUAUAGCCCACCCGUUUUUUGGCCAUUUUUCCGCUGGGGGGUGUUGGCACCCCGACCUUCGGGGGCUGAUUUUUGGGCGCGGCUGUGCCCGUGGCCUAUUUUUGGCAAACGGAGGCCGCCCGCAACGUCUGGGGCCAUUCCGAGUCCGGCGGACGAACUUCGCCCACGCCCCCCACCAAGGCUAUAGCCCACCCGUUUUUUGGCCAUUUUUCCGCUGGGGGGUCUUGGCGCCCAGACCUUCGGGGGCUGAUUUUUGGGCGCGGCUGUGCCCGUGGCCUAGUUUUGGCACACGGAGGCCGCCCGCAAAGUCUGGGGCCAUUCCGAGUCCGGCGGACGAACUUCGCCCACGCCCCCCACCAAGGCUAUAGCCCACCCGUUUUUUGGCCAUUUUUCCGCUGGGGGGUCUUGGCACCCCGACCUUCGCGGGCUGAUUUUUGGGCGCGGCUCUGCCCGUGGCCUAUUUUUGGCACACGGAAGCCGCCCGCAAAGUCUGGGGCCAUUCCGAGUCCGGCGGACGAACUUCGCCCACGCCCCCCACCAAGGCUAUAGCCCACCCGUUUUUUGGCCAUUUUUCCGCUGGGGGGUCUUGGCACCCCGACCUUCGCGGGCUGAUUUUUGGGCGCGGCUCUGCCCGUGGCCUAUUUUUGGCACACGGAAGCCGCCCGCAAAGUCUGGGGCCAUUCCGAGUCCGGCGGACGAACUUCGCCCACGCCCCCCACCAAGGCUAUAGCCCACCCGUUUUUUGGCCAUUUUUCCGCUGGGGGGACUUGGCACCCCGACCUUCGGGGGCUGAUUUUUGGGCGCGGCUCUGCCCGUGGCCUAUUUUUGGCACACGGAGGCCGCCCGCAAAGUCUGGGGCCAUUCCGAGUUCGGCGGAUGAACUGCGCCCACGCCCCCCACCAAGGCUAUAGCCCACCCGUUUUUUGGCCAUUUUUCCGCUGGGGGGUCUUGGCGCCCCAACCUUCGGGGGCUGAUUUUUGGGCGCGGCUGUGCCCGUUGCCUAUUUUUGGCACACGGAGGCCGCCCGCAAAGUCUGGGGCCAUUCCGAGUCCGGCGGACGAACUUCGCCCACGCCCCCCACCAAGGCUAUAGCCCGCCCACCCGUUUUUUGGCUAUUUUUCCGCUGGGGGGUCUUGGCGCCCCGACCUUCGGGGGCUGAUUUUUGGGCGCUGGUGUGCCCGUGGCCUAUUUUUGGCACACGGAGGCCGCGCGCAAAGUCUGGGGCCAUUCCGAGUUCGGCGGAUGAACUGCGCCCACGCCCCCCACCAAGGCUAUAGCCCACCCGUUUUUUGGCCAUUUUUCAGCUGGGGGGUGUUGGCACCCCGACCUUCGGGGGCUGAUUUUUGGGCGCGGCUGCGUCCGUGGCCUAUUUUUGGCACACGGAGGCCGCCCGCAACAUCUGGGGCCAUUCCAAGUCCGGCGGACGAACUUCGCCCACCCCCCCCACCAAGGCUAUAGCCCACCCGUUUUUUGGCCAUUUUUCCGCUGGGGGGUCUUGGCGCCCCGACCUUCGGGGGCUGAUUUUUGGGCGCGGCUCUGCCCGUGGCCUAUUUUUGGCACACAGAAGCCGCCCGCAAAGUCUGGGGCCAUUCCGAGUCCGGCGGACGUACUUCGCCCACGCCCCCCACCAAGGCUAUAGCCCACCCGUUUUUUGGCCAUUUUUCCGCUGGGGGGUGUUGGCACCCCGACCUUCGGGGGCUGAUUUUUGGGCGCGGCUGUGCCCGUGGCCUAUUUUUGGCACAUGGACGACGCCCGCAACGUCUGGGGCCAUUCCGAGUCCGGCGGACGAACUUCGCCCACGCCCCCCACCAAGGCUAUAGCCCACCCGUUUUUUGGCCAUUUUUCCGCUGGGGGGUGUUGGCACCCCGACCUUCGGGGGCUGAUUUUUGGGCGCGGCUGUGCCCGUGGCCUAUUUUUGGCACACGGAGGCCGCCCGCAAAGUCUGGGGCCAUUCCGAGUCCGGCGGACGAACUUCGCCCACGCCCCCCACCAAGGCUAUAGCCCACCCGUUUUUUGGCCAUUUUUCCGCUGGGGGGUGUUGGCACCCCGACCUUCGGGGGCUGACUUUUGGGCGCGGCUGUGCCCGUGGCCUAUUUUUGGCACACGGAGGCCGCCCGCAAAGUCUGGGGCCAUUCCGAGUCCGGCGGACGAACUUCGCCCACGCCCCCCACCAAGGCUAUAGCCCACCCGUUUUUUGGCCAUUUUUCCGCGGGGGGGUGUUGGCACCCCGACUUUCGGGGGCUGAUUUUUGGGCGCGGCUGUGCCCGUGGCCUAUUUUUGGCACACGGAGGCCGCCCGCAAAGUCUGGGGCCAUUCCGAGUCCGGCGGACGAACUUCGCCCACGCCCCCCACCAAGGCUAUAGCCCACCCGUUUUUUGGCCAUUUUUCAGCUGGGGGGUGUUGGCACCCCGACCUUCGGGGGCUGAUUUUUGGGCGCGGCUGUGCCCGUGGCCUAUUUUUGGCACACGGAGGCCGCCCGCAACAUCUGGGGCCAUUCCGAGUCCGGCGGACGAACUUCGCCCACGCCCCCCACCAAGGCUAUAGCCCACCCGUUUUUUGGCCAUUUUUCCGCUGGGGGGUCUUGGCGCCCCGACCUUCGGGGGCUGAUUUUUGGGCGCGGCUGUGCCCGUGGCCUAUUUUUGGCACACGGAGGCCGCCCGCAAAUUCUGGGGCCAUUCCGAGUCCGGCGGACGAACUUCGCCCACGCCCCCCACCAAGGCUAUAGUCCGCCCACCCGUUUUUUGCCCAUUUUUCCGCUGCGGGGUCUUGGCGCCCCGAUCUUCGGGGGCUGAUUUUUGGGCGCGGGUGUGCCCGUGGCCUGUUUUUGGCACACGGAGGCCGCCCGCAAAGUCUGGGGCCAUUCCGAGUCCGGCGGACGAACUUCGCCCACGCCCCCCACCAAGGCUAUAGCCCGCCCACCCGUUUUUUUUGCCAUUUUUCCGCUAGGGGGUAUUGGCGCCCCGACCUUCGGGGGCUGAUUUUUGGGCGCGGGUGUGCCCGUGGCCUGUUUUUGGCACACGGAGGCCGCCCGCAAAGUCUGGGGCCAUUCCGAGUCCGGCGGACGAACUUCGCCCACGCCCCCCACCAAGGCUAUAGCCCACCCGUUUUUUGGCCAUUUUUCCGCUGGGGGGUCUAGGCGCCCCGACAUUCGGGGGCUGAUUUUUGGGCGCGGCUGUGCCCGUGGCCUAUUUUUGGCACACGGAGGCCGCCCGCAAAGUCUGGGGCCAUUCCGAGUCCGGCGGACGAACUUCGCCCACGCCCCCCACCAAGGCUAUAGCCCCACCGUUUUUUGGCCAUUUUUCCGCUGGGGGGUCUUGGCGCCCCAACCUUCGGGGGCUGAUUUUUGGGCGCGGCUGUGCCCGUGGCCUAUUUUUGGCACACGGAGGCCGCCCGCAAAGUCUGGGGCCAUUCCGAGUCCGGCGGACGAACUUCGCCCACGCCCCCCACCAAGGCUAUAGCCCACCCGUUUUUUGGCCAUUUUUCCGCUGGGGGGUCUUGGCGCCUCGACCUUCGGGGGCUGAUUUUUGGGCGCGGCUCUGCCCGUGGCCUAUAUUUGGCACACGGAAGCCGCCCGCAAAGUCUGGGGCCAUUCCGAGUCCGGCGGACGAACUUCGCCCACGCCCCCCACCAAGGCUAUAGCCCACCCGUUUUUUGGCCAUUUUUCCGCUGGGGGGUGUUGGCACCCCGACCUUCGGGGGCUGAUUUUUGGGCGCGGCUCUGCCCGUGGCCUAUUUUUGGCACACGGAAGCCGCCCGCAAAGUCUGGGGCCAUUCCGAGUUCGGCGGACGAACUUCGCCCACGCCCCCCACCAAGGCUAUAGCCCACCCGUUUUUUGGCCAUUUUUCCGCUGGGGGGUGUUGGCACCCCGACAUUCGGGGGCUGAUUUUUGGGCGCGGCUGUGCCCGUGGCCUAUUUUUGGCACACGGAGGCCGCCCGCAAAGUCUGGGGCCAUUCCGAGUCCGGCGGACGAACUUCGCCCACGCCCCCCACCAAGGCUAUAGCCCGCCCACCCGUUUUUUGGGCAUUUUUCCGCCGGGGGGUCUUGGCGCCCCGACCUUCGGGGGCUGAUUUUUGGGCGCGGGUGUGCCCGUGGCCUGUUUUUGGCACACGGAGGCCGCCCGCAAAGUCUGGGGCCAUUCCGAGUCCGGCGGACGAACUUCGCCCACGCCCCCCACCAAGGCUAUAGCCCACCCGUUUUUUGGCCAUUUUUCCACUGGGGGGUCUUGGCGCCCCGACCUUCGGGGGCUGAUUUUUGGGCGCGGCUGUGCCCGUGGCCUGUUUUUGGCACACGGAGGCCGCCCGCAACGUCUGGGGCCAUUCCGAGUCCGGCGGACGAACUUCGCCCACGCCCCCCACCAAGGCUAUAGCCCACCCGUUUUUUGGCCAUUUUUCCGCUGGGGGGUCAUGGCACCCCGACCUUCGGGGGCUGAUUUUUGGGCGCGGCUCUGCCCGUGUCCUAUUUUUGGCACACGGAAGCCGCCCGCAAAGUCUGGGGCCAUUCCGAGUCCGGCGGACGAACUUCGCCCACGCCCCCCACCAAGGCUAUAGCCCACCCGUUUUUUGGCCAUUUUUCAGCUGGGGGGUGUUGGCACCCCGACCUUCGGGGGCUGAUUUUUGGGCGCGGCUGCGCCCGUGGCCUAUUUUUGGCACACGGAGGCCGCCCGCAACAUCUGGGGCCAUUCCGAGUCCGGCGGACGAACUUCGCCCACGCCCCCCACCAAGGCUAUAGCCCGCCCACCCGUUUUUUGGCUAUUUUUCCGCUGGGGGGUCUUGGCGCCCCGACCUUCGGGGGCUGAUUUUUGGGCGCUGGUGUGCCCGUGGCCUAUUUUUGGCACACGGAGGCCGCCCGCAAAGUCUGGGGCCAUUCCGAGUCCGGCGGACGUACUUCGCCCACGCCCCCCACCAAGGCUAUAGCCCACCCGUUUUUUGGCCAUUUUUCCGCUGGGGGGUGUUGGCACCCCGACCUUCGGGGGCUGAUUUUUGGGCGCGGCUGUGCCCGUGGCCUAUUUUUGGCACAUGGACGACGCCCGCAACGUCUGGGGCCAUUCCGAGUUCGGCGGACGAACUUCGCCCACGCCCCCCACCAAGGCUAUAGCCCACCCGUUUUUUGGCCAUUUUUCCGCUGGGGGGUGUUGGCACCCCGACCUUCGGGGGCUGAUUUUUGGGCGCGGCUGUGCCCGUGGCCUAUUUUUGGCACACGGAGGCCGCCCGCAACAUCUGGGGCCAUUCCGAGUCCGGCGGACGAACUUCGCCCACGCCCCCCACCAAGGCUAUAGCCCACCCGUUUUUUGGCCAUUUUUCCGCUGGGGGGUCUUGGCGCCCCGACCUUCGGGGGCCGAUUUUUGGGCGCGGCUGUGCCCGUGGCCUAUUUUUGGCACACGGAGGCCGCCCGCAAAGUCUGGGGCCAUUCCGAGUCCGGCGGACGAACUUCGCCCACGCCCCCCACCAAGGCUAUAGCCCACCCGUUUUUUGGCCAUUUUUCCGCUGGGGGGUGUUGGCACCCCGACCUUCGGGGGCUGAUUUUUGGGGGCGGCUGUGCCCGUGGCCUAUUUUUGGCACACGGAGGCCGCCCGCAACGUCUGGGGCCAUUCCGAGUCCGGCGGACGAACUUCGCCCACGCCCCCCACCAAGGCUAUAGCCCACCCGUUUUUUGGCCAUUUUUCAGCUGGGGGGUGUUGGCACCCCGACCUUCGGGGGCUGAUUUUUGGGCGCGGCUGUGCCCGUGGCCUAUUUUUGGCACACGGAGGCCGCCCGCAACAUCUGGGGCCAUUCCGAGUCCGGCGGACGAACUUCGCCCACGCCCCCCACCAAGGCUAUAGCCCACCCGUUUUUUGGCCAUUUUUCCGCUGGGGGGUCUUGGCGCCCCGACCUUCGGGGGCUGAUUUUUGGGCGCGGCUGUGCCCGUGGCCUAUUUUUGGCACACGGAGGCCGCCCGCAAAUUCUGGGGCCAUUCCGAGUCCGGCGGACGAACUUCGCCCACGCCCCCCACCAAGGCUAUAGUCCGCCCACCCGUUUUUUGCCCAUUUUUCCGCUGCGGGGUCUUGGCGCCCCGAUCUUCGGGGGCUGGUUUUUGGGCGCGGGUGUGCCCGUGGCCUGUUUUUGGCACACGGAGGCCGCCCGCAAAGUCUGGGGCCAUUCCGAGUCCGGCGGACGAACUUCGCCCACGCCCCCCACCAAGGCUAUAGCCCGCCCACCCGUUUUUUUUGCCAUUUUUCCGCUAGGGGGUCUUGGCGCCCCGACCUUCGGGGGCUGAUUUUUGGGCGCGGGUGUGCCCGUGGCCUGUUUUUGGCACACGGAGGCCGCCCGCAAAGUCUGGGGCCAUUCCGAGUCCGGCGGACGAACUUCGCCCACGCCCCCCACCAAGGCUAUAGCCCACCCGUUUUUUGGCCAUUUUUCCGCUGGGGGGUCUAGGCGCCCCGACAUUCGGGGGCUGAUUUUUGGGCGCCGCUGUGCCCGUGGCCUAUUUUUGGCACACGGAGGCCGCCCGCAAAGUCUGGGGCCAUUCCGAGUCCGGCGGACGAACUUCGCCCACGCCCCCCACCAAGGCUAUAGCCCACCCGUUUUUUGGCCAUUUUUCCGCUGGGGGGUCUUGGCGCCUCGACCUUCGGGGGCUGAUUUUUGGGCGCGGCUCUGCCCGUGGCCUAUAUUUGGCACACGGAAGCCGCCCGCAAAGUCUGGGGCCAUUCCGAGUCCGGCGGACGAACGUCGCCCACGCCCCCCACCAAGGCUAUAGCCCACCCGUUUUUUGGCCAUUUUUCCGCUGGGGGGUGUUGGCACCCCGACCUUCGGGGGCUGAUUUUUGGGCGCGGCUCUGCCCGUGGCCUAUUUUUGGCACACGGAAGCCGCCCGCAAAGUCUGGGGCCAUUCCGAGUCCGGUGGACGAACUUCGCCCACGCCCCCCACCAAGGCUAUAGCCCACCCGUUUUUUGGCCAUUUUUGCGCUGGGGGGUGUUGGCACCCCGACCUUCGGGGGCUGAUUUUUGGGCGCGGCUGUGCCCGUGGCCUAUUUUUGGCACACGGAGGCCGCCCGCAACGUCUGGGGCCAUUCCGAGUCCGGCGGACGAACUUCGCCCACGCCCCCCACCAAGGCUAUAGCCCACCCGUUUUUUGGCCAUUUUUCCGCUGGGGGGUGUUGGCGCCCCGACCUUCGGGGGCUGAUUUUUGGGCGCGGCUGUGCCCGUGGCCUAUUUUUGGCACACAGAGGCCGCCCGCAAAGUCUGGGGCCAUUCCGAGUCCGGCGGACGAACUUCGCACACGGCUCCCACCAAGGCUAUAGCCCACCCGUUUUUUGGCCUUUUUUCCGCUGGGGGGUGUUGGCACCCCGACCUUCGGGGGCUGAUUUUUGGGCGCGGCUGUGCCCGUGGCCUAUUUUUGGCACACGGAGGCCGCCCGCAAAGUCUGGGGCCAUUCCGAGUUCGGCGGACGAACUUCGCCCGCGCCCCCCACCAAGGCUAUAGCCCACCCGUUUUUUGGCCAUUUUUCCGCUGGGGGGUCUUGGCGCCCCGACCUUCGGGGGCUGAUUUUUGGGCGCGGCUGUGCCCGUGGCCUAUUUUUGGCACACGGAGGCCGCCCGCAAAGUCUGGGGCCAUUCCGAGUCCGGCGGACGAACUUCGCCCACGCCCCCCACCAAGGCUAUAGCCCGCCCACCCGUUUUUUGGCCAUUUUUCCGCUGGGGGGUCUUGGCGCCCCGACCAUCGGGGGCUGAUUUUUGGGCGCGGGUGUGCCCGUUGCCUGUUUUUGGCACACGGAGGCCGCCCGCAAAGUCUGGGGCCAUUCCGAGUCCGGCGGACGAACUUCGCCCACGCCCCCCACCAAGGCUAUAGCCCACCCGUUUUUUGGCCAUUUUUCCGCUGGGGGGUCUUGGCGCCCCGACCUUCGGGGGCUGAUUUUUGGGCGCGGCUGUGCCCGUGGCCUAUUUUUGGCACACGGAGGCCGCCCGCAAAAUCUGGGGCCAUUCCGAGUCCGGCGGACGAACUUCGCCCACGCCCCCCACCAAGGCUAUAGCCCACCCGUUUUUUGGCCAUUUUUCCGCUGGGGG